GCGCUCGGCUUCAGCAGCACAUACACAGAAGUUGGAACAAUAUAGAGAAGAUGAGCGUGGUCCCUGCACAAUAACAGGCAAAUCUGUGAUGCAUUCCAUAUUUUU
ensembl:snRNA U6 U6 spliceosomal RNA